CUUCCCCCUAACAUCCAACCUAAGUCAGUGUCCAGUGUCUCAUUAAAUCAUAGGAAGUAAGUACUAUUUUGGACAGCCGUUGUUGACUUUCUUAUUCCCUGGGUGUAGAUACAUGUAAAAUUAUCAAAAGCAAAGAAUGUGAUUAGGUCUCUGGCAUAUAAUUGUUAAGGUUGGAAAAGACUACUAAGGUUACUUAGUCCAACCAUCAAGCUAUCCCCACCACUAAACCGUGCCCCUCAAGAGGUAAGAAAAACGUGGAUGGCUGCAUGGGGACACAGCAUGAAGUGCAGAUUUGGAGGUCAGAAAACCUUAAGUGUUGUGUGCCUGACUGUUGUUACAGUACCAUAAAGGUCUGGACGUGUUCCCUGGAAGUAUUCAGAAGGUUUCUUAAUUAGAAGUGAUUGUCCUUGAAGCUGACUGGUGAUUGAACCUAACCCGACAGUAGAGCAGACUCAUUGUGAGUUAUGACAAAGGCACUACUCAUUGCAUCAACCACGUGAUCUUCUAUUUUUUUUUAAUUAUAGCCUCUUUGUUGCCGUUCUCCUCUAAUUAAAGCCAUUGCACUAAUUUUAACAUGUUUGAAUUCAGAAGCAUAAAAUACACAUAAAUGCCAGUUGACUGAAACCCACUCCUACCUCAUUGCUAACCACUGUCUGUAUCCCAGUAGGGUCCUAUGGGAACUCUGCGUGGGUGAACACAGUUUUGGUAUUACAAUCUAAUGCGAUAUGAAGUAUCACAGUUGAGUGGAGAUCAAGUGAGAAAUAUUCCAGAAAGUGAAGCUAAAAACAUUGAAUUCAUCAGAGCAGUAAAAAACCCAGAUAUUUAAUGGCCUGAUAUGUUUAGUAAACAACAGAAAUGUGUAAAUCAAAUAAGUGGUCAUUUUGAUGGGCAGACUGCAGUAACUAUCUUAUGUUACCUUUGCAUUCAUUUGCUUAAUACACUGUGGCUGGCAUUAUUAAUCUGGAAAAUUGAUACUUGCUCUGUGCCUUAACAAAGAAUCACAGUUUUGCUUUUACAUUUAUGUAUCAGUACAGUUAUUUAUCAUUACUUUUCUUAGCAGAUAGAAAGCAAGGUUUUGGCAACUCUACAUGUUUCAGCCUUUAACCAACCCCACGCCUCACCCAGAUCUUUGUCUACCUGGCAUCUCACCAAAUUCUAUAUUAUAUCUUUUUUCAAGCUUGCUACUAUAUUUCUCAUCCAUUUGCCUUUUUUUGUUUUCUAUGUGUAUAGUGAUCUCUGUGUUUACCUUGUUCCUCUAGAGAAAAACAUUAACUUAGGUAUGCAGGAAGACUCUUUACCAUUGGCUUCAUCAAGGGUAGAUAGGAGUCUACUCUCUGUUCCUGCUUUGUUUUGUUCUGUUUAUGUUCUUUUAUAUUUAUCUGCAGCAUUCCUGAGCAAUAGGGAACUCCAGGAGUACAGUAUCCUACAUGCAUCUUAUUCUGUUUUUCUACUACAGGCUCCUCCUUAAGACAGAAUCCUCCUUAAUGCAAUAUGGCUAUAAGUAGAUCAUUCUAUCCAGGGACUCUAUGCCCCAGCACUCCUGUUUCUACAGGCAGAAAAUUAGUCUUCCUUUGUUUGGCAUGUGGGGAGCCUGAGGGUGCCCCUUGAGCCAUAGGCACUGUUUAUGUAGCAAUUCAGCAGCAAGAGCAAUGACUUUUCUAAUAGCAGAAAGAUCAGGCUCUGGGGGUGUGCAGCUCUGACUGCAUAAAGUGCACAUUGUGGAGAAAAUUCCUCUUUCCCAUCUACAUUUGGAACAUCUUCUACAGUGAGAGGUUUUCCCCUGCACGUGUUUAAGACGUUCACUGUUGAGAGAGAAAAUGAUGGUGCUAGAGAGGAAGGUAUUUAAAGUGGAGUUGCAGCCUUAAGCAGAACGAUCUUUUCUUUUUGUAUUUGUUCAUUUAUCCACUCGCCAUUACUAAUUUCAGCCAACAGAAGGAAACUGGGUUGGGUUCUGGGGAAGGAAGGACUUGCAGGACACUGCCCUGGGGCUGUAGAGACCUGAGUCAACUGUUUAUAGAAACAUUAACAUUUUGUUGGUUUUUUUUUAAGACACGAAGUCCUAACCUUAAAUUGCCAGUUGGUCUGCAGUACAGAGACAGCCCAGGGAAUUAACACCCCAUCCUGGAACAAGGCCUGAGGAUGAAAGUAGUGACAAUGUGGGAUUCUAAAUAUACCCGAGCAGCUCACAGGUUCUGUAAUUGUGCUGGAGGCUGUGUGAAAUCUGCAGGCAGCAGCACGCCUGCUUGCAGUUUUGCUUCAGGUGAGAAGCUGUUUAGUGCCUUAAGACAAAGUCAGAGACAUAAAGUCCCAAAGGCUGAUUCACUAGAGGAAAUGCUGGCAGUGUUUGCUUGAAACACGCCCCUUAGCAGGCAGUGUCCCUGCUGGGGAACAGUAAUGUUUUCAGUGGUGGAUCUCCAUUACAAUGAAUUAGACACCCACAAACAGACAAAUUUGUCAAAUGAAACACUGCUGAGGGAGAGCAGGGGAAGAACCAUCCAUCCAUCCUCACAGGAGAACCCUAGGAAUGUCUGAUCCUAGUGAGGCAUGUAUUUCUGCUGCUCCCUCAUCUCCUACUUCUCCUGGGUAACAGUGAUGGGUUGAGAGGUAAUGGCAUCUCUUCCUUCUAUCCUAUCAACUCAGCAUGGUGUCAUCUGCAAACUUGCCAUGGGCGCACUUGAUCCCACUGUCUAUGUCACUGAUAAAGGUGUUAAAGGAUGCUGGUCUCAGACCAGCCACCACCUGGACAUAGAGCCACUGACCACAACCCUCUGGCCAUCCAAUGAACUCAUUAUCCAUUAUCCAGCCUUCAAAUCCACAUCUCUCCAAUCUAGAGAUAAGAAUGUGCUGGACCAUGUCAAAAGUCCCACACAAAUCCAGGUAAACAACAUCAGUUGCCCAUUCUCUGUCCAUCGAUGCCAUCACUCCCUCAUAGAAAGCCAUCAGAUUGGUCAGGCAUCUGUGUGGUCUCACAUCCCCUCCUUGUCUCGCUCAGCUUUCAGAAGGAUCUGUUCCAUGAUCUUCCCAUUGCAGCCAUAAGGCUCAAUGGCUGAUAGUUCCUUAGGUCUUUCUUUUCCCCUUUAUUAAAAAGGGGAGUGAAUAUAUACUAAGAUAACGAGGUAUUUGUUUCUUUCCAGGGAGCUUUGCAGGAAGUACAAAACUUUCACAGCACUUUAAGAGACAGUGUUAAGGGCUCAUCAUGGUUCUUCUUUUCUAGACCUCAGGAGGGCUGGCUUUGGGCAGGGAAAGGAGCCAUUACUUUGUAAGUACAUGUUUACAAAGUGAUGAGGUAGUGUCUGGGCAGAUGUGGCUGCUGGGUGAUCUUUAAGCUAUUGCCCCAUCUUCUCUAAUUCUGAGCUCCUGAGUUACAUUAAUCUCAUGUUUCAUCCCUAAAGCUGUGAAACAGGUACAUUUUUCAGACAGUAAGAAAUGUUCUACUUUCCUAUUCUUUUCAUGCCAAUUCCAUACCUUUCCUGAGGAAGCUAUAGUGACUGGCUGGGUGGAAAAGUAAUUGUGGGUCUGCAAUAAGUUGAUAAGAUGGAAAACUUGCUCUAUUGUAAAGGGCGCAGCUGCUUGAUUGCAUCUGCCUGUGUUGCCUGUGUGUGAUAUCCACCUUCUUGUUGUCAGAGCUUGAGAUGAUUAGUACUGCAUCUACACAUCACUGCUUGCACCUACUGAUAGCCUUUCUUAUUUUCAGCUCUGUCAUGUGAUAGUCUCAGCUACUGUAAUGAUAGCUGAAUUUAUGAAGGGAAAAAAAGGAACAACCCAUAACUGAAGCAAGGCGCAGCACCCACAUAAGUUCCCAAGAAGUGCUUCAUCCUGUGCUGCCCUAAAGAGUUGCUACAAGCCUUAACUUAUCAGAGUGGGAAUGCAGGCAGGAGGAGGUUUGGUAUGCAAGGACUCACACAACAGUGGAGUGGACACGAAUGUCUGCUUCAUCUGAGGGUCUGCUUCUAGCAUGGGUGAGUACAUUUAACUUUGAUCUGCUUUGCUUGGGCAAUAAGCGGAGUGAAGAGAUCCAGAGAUGUGCCACCCACUUGGUUAAUCACCUGCAGCCCAAUCCACGCUGCUGCACUGCCACUGCUGCCAGUCGUUAAGAUGCAGAGAUCAAGAGUAGUUUGCAAAUGUUUGCAGUUUUCUCCAGGUGCAGAACAGGCCUGUUGUUCUCUGGUGUAUCUGGAGGUUCUGUGUGAAACCUGUGGGUUUGAAGGUGUUUGUUUUCAGGGAUGGUGAAGUUGAGAUAGAGGAGACUUGAAGUGUGGGGUUUUGGGCUUUAUACAGUAUUAGCAUCAAAACGUUUUGUAAUUCAUUAGCAAAAUUCUCUUACUUACGGAAAAGCCCAACUUUGUUAGUUAAUACAUGUUACAGCCAAAGAAAAAAGAAGUGGGGUUAAGUGCAGGGAAGUGUUUGUGGAGACACAAGGACUGAGGGAGGAGGAAUAGUGAAGAGUAUUUGAGAAAAUUACAUUUAGCUGAAUAGCUGAAGAUGAAAGCAGUUGGGAAGAUGGGUUUUCUCUCAUAUCUCACGUAGACAAAUGUUAAGUUUUGAUGUCAACUGGGCUUGAACAGCUCAGAAAAAUGAGGAAGGCAUGAAUCUUUCUGGUGCUUGAGGUACAGAAGCAAAAAUGCAUAAAUCAGUGGGCAGCUGGCAGCAGAACUACCAUAACUCUGAGUGCUCUGCACUAGGGUGGCAGCUUUUAGAUGCAUGGCCUGUGAAAUGCAAGUAAACAUUUCAUAAUCUGCAGUUUUACUGCAGAUGGGAGUUUAGUCCAAGUAGAGAUUUUUGGGAUACUUAAUUCCAUCAGCCAGUGCCCCCCCAGAUGUAUUUAUUUAAAGCAGGACUCCUGCUCCAGUUUUUGUGAAUCUUUUUGUGGGGUAGCCUUUGUUGGAGGAAACAGCCCAUUCCUCCCUUGGCAGAAAGAAUGUGCUGGUAUUUUAAUGUUACUGGAGAGAAUUAGCCCCUGGCUUUUGUGGAAGGCUGGCUUUCUACCUCCGAGUACUGUGUGCCAGCAGCAGCCUCACGGCCCUUCUGGUGGGUGACUUGUUGCAACCUGAAAUGUUCACAAGAUUUUCCCCCAAAGCCUUUUUUAAAAAAAAAAACAAACCAAAACAAUUCUGCUGCUUGGGAAAGUUGUUUGGAAAGACUUGGAAAGAUGUUUGAUAUAAAUACCAGGGAUUUUGGAGAUGAGGAAUGGAACGCUGCUUUUAGUGGUGCUUGGGACUGCCUAAUGCCUUGCUCCUAAGGCAAGACUUGGUCCGACCCCAUUUUGUAUCUCCGUGGUUGAUCCUGUCACACGUACUUUGGAUCUCCAUGAUUUUGGACAGCUAUGUAAGGCUCCAAUAAAUGUUUCUGUAAACCCUGAUUAGAUCAAAAUGAUGUUUGUGUUGUGUGUGACAGUUCUUGUGGUGACUUGGUGAACUGAAGGCUUUGUUUCCACAGACAGGCUCUCUGGUGUCUCUGGUUUGGCUGAUUAACAAAUACAUUUAGUAACUGGAAAAAUAUGUUGCUGCUUUGUUGAUAUGUUGAUUCAUUUGAUGUAUUAAACAACAACAACAAUAAAACAAACUGAUUUGCCUGUUCAAACUAGUCUAGCUGACAUAGAGGUAGGCUGGGCAGGAAGAUGUCAAGAUUGGCUCACAUCAGACCAUAGCAAUCUCGUUUGCUUCAUGGUCUCAAUGAAGUAAUCAGUUCUAAAUUACAAACAACUAUCUCGGGCCCCAGAUGAGGCAUCAUACAGCAUUGCUGUGACAAACAGAUCUAUCUGUAGUGUUAUGGGAAACUUACCAAACCACGAAACUUGAGCGGAUCUGAGAUUUGAUAAAAAAAAACUAUGUAUGUUGCUCUGAAAAUAGUGCCUCUUAUUUACUUCCACGGAAGCUACAACAGAUGCA